GGGGCCUAGACGGCGCCGGCCGUGCGCAGCGGCGGCGUGGGCGCCCCGGGCAGCUUUUCUUUCAACAUAAUAGAUGGGAUUUAAAUGAGUUUAUGUGUGUGUACAUAUACAAGUGUGUAUUUCUAUGAAACAAGGAUGUAUACAAAUGCAUACAUGCAUAUACAUACACAUUCUCCUAAAGUUGAACGUUUUACUUGCACUCAACAAAGUAUUUCUACAUCUUUUAUUUAUUCUUCACAACAUUCAUCUGAAGUUAGUGUAAAUGGUCUCACAUUAAUUUCAGAGAUAAGGAAAUUGAGGCUCAGGUGAGUACAUUUUGUAAUGAUGACAUGACAAAACAGUUAAAACAUAUUGUACACAUUUUGGAGGCUGGCCCCAUGGCCCAGUCCUUAAGUUUGUGUGCUCCACUUUGGUGGCCCAGAGUUUCCCCAGUUCAGAUCCUGGGUGCGGACAAUAGUACCACCGAGCUAGGUGUUUCCAAAAGGUGACCAGUCCAUACACAUAUAUUAAAAUGAAUUUCUUGACUCUAAAAUAUAAACGGUAGCAUUUAUGCUAGGUUACCAGUGCUCGCUUGUGUGAAAAUUACUCAUUUUUUUCUCUGUACUGGUAGUCACCUCCAACAUAUGGAAUCAAGGAACCUUACAGGAGUUUCAGAAUUUCUUCUUCUGGGAUUUUCAGAGAAAGCAAAAUUUCAGUGCCUCAUAUUUGGGCUUUCCCUCUCCAUAUACCUGAUCAAUCUGUUUGGAAAUCUGCUCAUCAUCUGGGCCAUUUGCCUACACUCAUCCAGGUCAUCUCAUCACACCUUCAAACACCUGUGUACUUCUUCCUCUCCAACCUCUCCUUUGUAGGCAUUUGUUUCACCUCCAUCACCAUCCCAAAGUAAAGAGCUUGAAUUCUUGUCCAGUCCUAUGAAUCAGAGUCACACAAGUUUUGCACAAACACGCACAUCAUUUCAAAUUCUUUGGUUCCCUAUUAGGAACCUCAAUGGAGUCAAUUUUUAAUAGAGUUAGAUGAAGUAAUCUUGAAUAACAGAGUAAUCAUGAAUGAUAUCUUCAAAUAUCAGAACAAAUGCCUAGAAUGAGAAGUGACAAUUAUAAUUUCCUUCAGUUCUGUUCACUUUGGUUAUUGUAUCAGCUGUUGCUGCAUAAUGUCAUUCUAAAAGCAAAUGGCUUAAUAUAAUGCAUUUAUUAUCAAGUUGGAUUAUAUUGAGGGGAGUUGUUCUGAGCUCUGGUCACCCACUAAUGGGCCUAUUGUCAGCUGUCAGUCUCUAUACUGUGUAUCUUGGGUGAAUACAUAAUGUGUGCAAUUGUAGUGCUCGUCUGUCUUGAACAAUUUUAGUUCAGUUUGCUCCUUUUAUAUGUGAAGAUCAGUCUUUAGCUUAUGGAAAAAAUGGGUUUAUCAAAUGUUAAUUACUUAUUUUAAUUCCACUGUUCUCAUAUUCAUAUAUGACACUUUGCCUUCGUCCAAGUUAGAAGACAUAUUUCCCAACACUUUAGGUGUGAUUCAGCUACAUGUGCUCUAAAUCCUUCUUUGAGCCAUGCACCACCAAAAAUUUUUAAUUAUUAACUAAUGCACUGAAGUUUAAUUACAUAAAAUAAACUUCACAUAUUUAAAGCAUACAUUUUUAAAAAAAUUAAAGGACCAUACAAGAAUUAAGAGUAUAUACUACAUGGUUCCAUUUAUGUAUAAUUCAAAAAGGUGUACAACAUGUUUUUCUUUUUAAAGAUUGACACCUGACCUAACAUCUGUUACCAAUCUUCUUUUUUUUUCCUUCUUCUUCUCCCCAAAGCCCCUCAGUACAUAGCUGUGUAUUCUAGUUGUGAGUGCCUCUGGGUUGUGGUAUGUGGGACACCGCUUCAGCAUGGCUUGAG
rnacentral:lncRNA from 1 species